UGGAUAGGAGACAAGAAGGCAUCUUCUUGUUUUUAAAAGACCUAGCAAUAGGUAUGCUUAGGGAGGAGCUUGCGUCACAUUAGUUAGUUGGUGGGGUAAAGGCCUACCAAGACUAUGAUGUGUAGCCGGGCUGAGAGGUUGAACGGCCACAUUGGGACUGAGACACGGCCCAAACUCCUACGGGAGGCAGCAGUAGGGAAUUUUCGGCAAUGGAGGAAACUCUGACCGAGCAACGCCGCGUGAACGAUGAAGUAUUUCGGUACGUAAAGUUCUUUUAUUAGGGAAGAAUAAAUGAUGGAAAAAUCAUUCUGACGGUACCUAAUGAAUAAGCCCCGGCUAACUAUGUGCCAGCAGCCGCGGUAAUACAUAGGGGGCAAGCGUUAUCCGGAAUUAUUGGGCGUAAAGGGUGCGUAGGCGGUUAAAUAAGUUUAUGGUCUAAGUGCAAUGCUCAACAUUGUGAUGCUAUAAAAACUGUUUAGCUAGAGUAAGAUAGAGGCAAGUGGAAUUCCAUGUGUAGUGGUAAAAUGCGUAAAUAUAUGGAGGAACACCAGUAGCGAAGGCGGCUUGCUGGGUCUUUACUGACGCUGAGGCACGAAAGCGUGGGGAGCAAACAGGAUUAGAUACCCUGGUAGUCCACGCCGUAAACGAUGAGUACUAAACGUUGGGUAAAACCAGUGUUGAAGUUAACACAUUAAGUACUCCGCCUGAGUAGUACGUACGCAAGUAUGAAACUUAAAGGAAUUGACGGGACUCCGCACAAGCGGUGGAUCAUGUUGUUUAAUUCGAAGGUACCCGAAAAACCUCACCAGGUCUUGACAUGCUUCUGCAAAGCUGUAGAAACACAGUGGAGGUUAUCAGUUGCACAGGUGGUGCAUGGUUGUCGUCAGCUCGUGUCGUGAGAUGUUGGGUUAAGUCCCGCAACGAGCGCAACCCUUAUUGUUAGUUACCAGCACGCAAUGGUGGGGACUUUAGCAAGACUGCCAGUGAUAAAUUGGAGGAAGGUGGGGACGACGUCAAAUCAUCAUGCCCCUUAUGACCUGGGCUACAAACGUGAUACAAUGGCUGUUACAAAGGGUAGCUGAAGCGCAAGUUUUUGGCGAAUCUCAAAAAAACAGUCUCAGUUCGGAUUGAAGUCUGCAACUCGACUUCAUGAAGUUGGAAUCGCUAGUAAUCGCGAAUCAGCAUGUCG
rnacentral:rRNA from 1 species